CCUACGGGAGGCAGCAGUGAGGAAUAUUGGGCAAUGGGCGCAAGCCUGACCCAGCAAUGCCGCGUGCAGGAAGAAGGCUCUCUGGUUGGUAACUUCCUUUUUCAGGGACGAAGCACUUGACGGUUCCUUUCGACUAAGCCACGUCUACCUAUGUGCCAGCAGCCGCGGUAAUACGUAGGUCGCAAGCGUUAUCCGGAUCUACUGGGUGUACAGGGUUUGUAGGCGGGGAGGGAAGUCAGAUGUGAAAACCACGGGCUCAACCCGUGACCUGCAUUUGAUACUGUUGUUCUUGAGUGCAGGAGCGGCAGUCGGAAUGCCGGGUGUAGCGGUGAAAUGCUUAGAGAUACGGAAGAACACCGGUGGCGAAGGCAGAUUGC
rnacentral:rRNA from 1 species